UGGGGAAUAUUGGACAAUGGGCGAAAGCCUGAUCCAGCAAUGCCGCGUGAGUGAUGAAGGCCUUAGGGUUGUAAAGCUCUUUUAGUAGAGAAGAUAAUGACGGUAUCUACAGAAAAAGCCCCGGCUAACUCCGUGCCAGCAGCCGCGGUAAUACGGAGGGGGCUAGCGUUGUUCGGAAUUACUGGGCGUAAAGAGCGCGUAGGCGGUCUGUAAAGUUGGAAGUGAAAGCCCAAGGCUUAACCUUGGAAUUGCUUUCAAAACUUACAGACUAGAGGAUGUUAGAGGAUGGUGGAAUUCCUAGUGUAGAGGUGAAAUUCUUAGAUAUUAGGAGGAACACCGGUGGCGAAGGCGGCCAUCUGGGACAUAUCUGACGCUGAGGCGCGAAAGCGUGGGGAGCAAACAGG
rnacentral:rRNA from 1 species